GACGAACCGUGCGAACGUUAUUCGGAAUCACUGGGCUUAAAGCGCGUGUAGGCGGGACGGCACGUCGGUCGCUGAAAUCCCCCGGCUUAACCGGGGAACUGGCGUCGAUACGACCGCCCUGGAGGGGCGUAGGGGGACCUGGAACUUCCGGUGGAGCGGUGAAAUGCGUUGAGAUCGGAAGGAACGCCCGUGGCGAAAGCGGUUCUCUGGGCCUUACCUGACGCUGAGGAGCGAAAGCGUGGGGAGCGAACAGG
rnacentral:rRNA from 1 species